rfam:Dipodomys ordii contig_23052, whole genome shotgun sequence.
GGUGGCUCAGAGGUAGAGCACUUGCCUUGCAUGCAUGAGGCCCUGGGUUCGAUUCCUCAGCACCA